rnacentral:rRNA from 1 species
GGGGAAUUUUGGACAAUGGGGGCAACCCUGAUCCAGCCAUGCCGCGUGUAUGAAGAAGGCCUUAGGGUUGUAAAGUACUUUUGUUAGGGAAGAAAAGCCAGCUGUGAAUAAUGGCUGAUACUGACGGUACCUAAAGAAUAAGCACCGGCUAACUACGUGCCAGCAGCCGCGGUAAUACGUAGGGUGCGAGCGUUAAUCGGAAUUAUUGGGCGUAAAGCGAGUGUAGACGGUUAUUUAAGCCAGAUGUGAAAUACCCGAGCCUAACUUGGGAGGUGCAUAUGGAACUGGGUAGCUAGAGUGUGUCAGAGGGAGGUAGAACUCCACGUGUAGCAGUGAAAUGCGUAGAGAUGUGGAAGAAUACCGAUGGCGAAGGCAGCCUCCUGGGAUAACACUGACGUUGAGGCUCGAAAGCGUGGGGAGCAAACAGGAUUAGAUACCCUGGUAGUCCACGCCCUAAACGAUGACAAUUAGCUGUUGGCCCCAUUAAGGGGUGAGUAGCGAAGCUAACGCGUGAAAUUGUCCGCCUGGGGAGUACGGUCGCAAGAUUA